AUUGAACGCUAGCGGGAUGCUUUACACAUGCAAGUCGAACGAGUGGCGGACGGGUGAGUAAUAUAUCGGAACGUGCCCAGUAGCGGGGGAUAACUACUCGAAAGAGUGGCCAAUACCGCACACUAUAGGAGCGGCCGAUAUCGGAUUGGCUAGUUGGUGGGGUAAAGGCUAACCAAGGCAACGAUCCGUAGCUGGUUUGAGAGGAAGACCAGCCACACGGGGACUGAGACACGGCCCAGACCCCUACGGGAGGCAGCAGUGGGGAAUUUUGGACAAUGGGGGAAACCCUGAUCCAGCCAUCCCGCGUGUAUGAGAAGGCCUUCGGGUUGUAAAGUACUUUUGGCAGAGAGGCGGUAUCUGCAGAAUAAGCACCGGCUAACUACGUGCCAGCAGCCGCGGUAAUAC
rnacentral:rRNA from 1 species